rnacentral:sRNA from 1 species
CUCAUACAUUUACAUACAUAAUACAAAUGAAAGACUAUUGGCGGAAAAUAAAAUUGGCAUGUCAGCAAAGAGAACUACAUGGCAUACCAUCAACAAAAAUCAAUAAUGAAAUUCAAUAAAUUCAACAAUGAAGGAAAUUCAUAUCCUUUCUGGCAAAAAAAAAAUCCGCAAACAAUGCUUGCGCUUGUACAAGCAAAUGCUGUAUAUGUGUGUGUGUCAAUGGAACUUGCAGUGGUAACAAGACGAAGAGAAAGAACAAGUGGAGGAACUUUGGCAAUUUUAAGCGAAGAGUUAAUUGACACGAGUGAUUACUUUUGGACAAAACCAAUUUGAGCAAAGGGUAAUGAUGCAGUUUACCAAAGCAGCUAACAGGAUGUGAUGACUAAAGGAAUUUUUGACACAAAAUUCAUAAUUGAAGUUGGUCUUUGAUUAUUAAAAGAACGGAUAUUAAAAGUAAAUUAAAUCUCUGUGACUUUUCCUGUGA